rnacentral:rRNA from 1 species
CCUACGGGCGGCAGCAGUGAGGAAUAUUGGUCAAUGGGCGGGAGCCUGAACCAGCCAAGUCGCGUGAGGGAAGACGGUCCUAUGGAUUGUAAACCUCUUUAGGCGGGGAGCAAUGCCGGGCACGCGUGCCCGGAGGGAGAGUACCCGCAGAAUAAGCACCGGCUAAUGCCGUGCCAGCAGCCGCGGUAAUACGUGGGAUGCGAGCGUUAUACGGAUUUAUUGGGUUAAAGGGGUGCGUAGGAGGAAUUUUAAGUCAGAGGUAAAAUGGCGGGGCUCAACCCGGGCCGGCCGUUGAAACUGGGGGUCUUGAGGGGGCGAGAAGUAUGCGGAAUGCGUGGUGUAGCGGUGAAAUGCAUAGAUAUCACGCAGAACUCCGAUUGCGAAGGCAGCAGACCGGCGCCCGACUGACGCUGAGGCACGAAAGCGUGGGUAUCGAACAGGAUUAGAUACCCGUGUAGUC